GUUACAUAAAUAUAUUCUGUGGCAAAGGAUCUGCACAAGUGAUCAAUCGACUCACACUUCAUCUUGGUUCAUGAAGAAAUUUUGCUCGAAUUUGCAAUGAAAUUCAGGAGCAGCUAUUUCCUAUGUUAGGUCAGAUGAAGUGAAAAGUACAUCUUAACAUUCUACACCCAAAAACGGCUAUCACGAAGAAGUUUUCACUGUCAUAAUUCCAAAUUCUCUAUUAUCCUAACCUAUUUCAUUGUCCUGCAGAGUGCUUCUUGCACUUGAUGCCGUCGAAAGCUUCUAAAGUCGUUCAGCAUCCUGUUUUCCUACCUACUGUGCGCAUGUACAUAUGCAUCCCAUAAACUGUAUAGACUAAAUCUAAUAUGAUAUAACUGAUCAACACUUCAUCCUUCUUUUUUAUACUGAAGAAUCUUAACUUUAUUGAUGCAUAUUUGGGCUUACAAUUUUACUGCUUGAUAGCAGAAUUUUCUGUAAUAAUGUGAUCUAGGUUGUUAAAUACCCCAGUGCUUGAACAUAUACAGCCUUCUCAUGAUCACAAGGGCACCGCUGCACCGGUGGACAAGAAGACAGCCUAUCACACUCAUCUUGCCUCUGAUUUGCUACUAUCAUACCACAUCACCGUCUUGAAUAUGAGCUCCUGGUGAUCAAAUGAACAAUGGAAAGGAGAGGCAUGACCAACGACAUCAUAAAUUGCAGUAUUGGGUCACAUGCAUGGUGGCCUGGAUGUACUACAAAAAAGAAAUAUCAAGCCCAUAUACCCUGCUCCAUCGGGGCUGUAUGAACUAUGGCGUCAACAGAAUGGCGGUGGUUGUUACUGAAACCCUCAACAUGCAGCAUCUACUAUUUCUUGACUUCAAUUUGGCUCAGGAAGAAUCAGGCGGUUGCAAAUAGAAAAUUGCUUUAGGCUUGGAUGUACUACAAAAAAGAAGUGGCGGUGUCUGGCUCAGUCGUUGUUUCAUAGAUGUCGUCGAUCCAGAGUGGCACGGUGUGCACCAACCCUCUUUGGCGAGCCGAUGAAUAGUGAGGAGUACAAGAGAGUUGUCAGGUGCUGUGUGCUGGACAAGGACAAGGAGAAUUUCCCGCACGAUGACCUGGCGGAGAUCGGGCGGAGAGGCCUCAACAUGAGCGGAGGCCAGAAGUAUAUGAUUCAGCUUUCAAUGGUUGUCUACAUCGAUGCAAAUAUCAACCGUAUAUCGCUGCAUCUCUUUUCAGUGUCAGGAUCCUUCUCAUUCUCAAUUCAACGGCUGUAGCUUAAUUAUGGAAUGAUCAUUUCGUCAUGGAUGUGACAGCAACUUUGUUUUUGAAGGACUGUGUCAUGGUGUCCCUUGGGGACAAGGGUCAUUUUUGUUACACAUCAGGUUGAAUGUUUCUCCGAGGUUGAUCGGAUUUUGGUCUUGGAGAAGAGGGCAAUAAUUCAGGAGGGAACUUCUGAGGAUCUUCGGUAAUUUUGUUAAAACUUGCAUUUUGAACUGGUAAUGUUUGGAGGAUUGUGUAUAGCAAGCUAGCUGCAAUAUAUGAUUAGCGAAGGAAAAAACUGUUGUUUAGUCCAUAUAACUUCAUCUGUAAAUAGUCUCCGGACCAAUACUCCUCAAGUAGCUCAAAUUUCAGGAACAUUGACCAUAUUUCCUCUCAAUUCCACCUAACCCAGUACUAGAAUCAUCAUGUACAAGCUUAUGUGUGCUAGCAAAUGCAAAAUUAUGACCUCCAGCAGGCUUGCACCGAUGAUGUCAAUGCCUGAUUAAAUAAGACCUUUUAUAGGCCUAGAACUGAAGUUCACUUCAGUGUAACCUAUUUUCACAUCGUUCAUACAUGUUGACAUCAUCCUACUAAUUUCUACUCAUUUCUCAUCGUUGACGGAGGAAAGGGGAGAAUGACCCAUUGUACCUUGUUGCUUUGAAGUGUUGGUGAAAAACAUAAAUGCACAACGAUGAGAAAUGAGUAGGAAAUUAGCAGUACGAUGAUGUCAACAUGUAUCACGACCAUAUCAUAUCAUGUCACAUUAGUAUCACAAACCACAAACCACGCUCAAGACAUACUACCCAUAAUAGAGUGACUUUUGAUAUAUGAUAUCAUAUAUGUUUAUUUAUUCCCAACCAACACCGGUUGUCUACUAUAUGUUUUACAUGUGUCAAUGCAAAGAAACGAUGAUGAUUUGCUGUUGUUAUAAGAGAGAACUCAGGGGACUAUCCCAUUUUUAGACUGGUAAAUGAAAACGCCGUUGUACUUUCUAGACUGUCUAUGGUUGAUACUGAAACCAGGACACGGUAGGCCAUAUUCGGUCAAGGCUGCAUUUGCUUGCCCCUCAUCCUUCCCUUAAGUACCUCCUGCAUUCAAUAAUUUAACACCUCACUACCGGAUGUCCUCUAAUACAGAGUACAAACCCGAGUU